AAUUAAUAAAAAAAUUUAUCCCUUACCCUAAUUAAUUUUACUUUUUCCCUCAAAUUUGAAACAAUUUUUUUUUCUCCCACUCUGAUUUCUAGUUCCCUCCCACAGACUACUCCAUUGCCGUCGUCGUCCUCUCGGCCGCCGCCGUGCCAGAGAUCAUGGCCGGCACCAUAUUUACCGGAUCAGCAACAUUUUAUAAAGCAGAGGUACUCUAAGUGAAAGGCGCGCCUUUGAUUAUUGAAUUCUUAGCGGCUGGUGUUCGCAAGGUUUGAAAUACGAAGGCCAUUUCAAUUCACUCUGAUGUUAUUCCACCUUAUAGAUAUAUCUUGUAUACACUUAAAUUCUGUGCUGAAUUGAUGAAUGCUUCGAUGUUGCUUUGAAAAUAAGUGAUGAUCUGGUGCUGUUCUUGCCGUUUUUGAAAUGAAACAAUGUUGGUUUCGCUUUGAGAUUGUGGCAAGUGAGUGUAGUUGUAUGUUACUACUUACUUACAGGCGUCAGAUGCAUGCUCUUUGUUUUAAGCUCAAUAAUUUUGCUCAUAACCUUUCAUUGGUGAGUGGAUAGCAUGGAAUCUGUUUUCUGAUUGUGAAACUUGUUUUAUUUCCAUUUUGUUUCAAAUAAGUGGCAUAUUGAAGAAUUUGUUAUUUCUUCUCUCCUUGAGGUCGUAUGGAAUCUUAUAUGUGUGCCUUUUUGGAUUGAUUUUGACCCUUUGAGUGUUAAUUAGAUGGUCUAUUGGAUUUGAAACUAAAAGAGGAUGUUAUCCAUCCCUGUAUGAUGUAUCCAACAUGUGAUCCAAAUCCAAAACCUUCCCGAAGGAGGCCGUAGUUUUCCAUAAAUAAGGAUUUGGGUUCAAGUCAAACCCUAAUGGUUUAAAAUAGCUUUUAGAUUAGUCAAACCCAAAAUAUCUUUCAGAUAUCAAUGUCUAAAAAAAACCUGCUCUUGAUUUGAUGAAAUGCAUUUUCAGUUUGACUUGGAUACAUCUUUAAUACUCACUUUGUAACCAAUCUUACUUUAAAAGGAUCUUCUCAUUGUCGAAUUAAGAUUUUUCUCUUGUACUGCAUUCAUUUACAAUUUUGCAUUGUGAGAUUGCUCUGUAAUAUAUGCUUUAAAUGUUACGGUUGAUUAAUGUCCUCCCGAGUUUCAGCAUUGCACCCUGGGGAUGAAAAUUUAAUAUUUAUAAUUUGGGGAGGUGAGAAUAUAUGUUGAAAUUCAAUCAUUUCAUCCUAAAAAUAACAGGUAAUUGCUAAACAUGAAAGUUCUACUAUUAGUCUGCACUGUUAUUUCUAGUUCUUUUAGCUUGAUUGAUUCAACCGUGUUAUUUAUUUUAUUGGAUUUUUCAUUUGGUUUGGCCACUCUAAUGAUAAGGAUUUCCAAAUUCAUGCAGACAAGUCUUCAUUAAUCUUGACAUGAACUUGAUUGGGAGCUUUUAUUACUUUGAAACAAUAUCCUAGUUGGUUGAGCAAUAUUUCUUUUAUAAGAGAUUAUGACACCACUUUUAUUUACUUUUAUGUUCUUGGUCCUCAAGAGAGGUUCUUGUUGUGAUUUGGUAAGGAAUACGAACCAACAUCAGCUGAUUCGGUUAUUUUCAUUUUUCUUCUAGUAGCCAGAAGCAGUCAUUGGCUCAGAGUUUGAUGCAAACGCUAGAAUUUUUUUGCCGUUGCUAAUUCAUGAAUGCUACCAACUAUACUAACUAACAAGCAACAGCAGGACCUCAGUCAAGGAGUAAAAUGCUCACUUAACUCGGUUAAGAAUAUUUUAGAAAAGUAUGUUUUAGUUACCAGAUGUCAGGGAAAGAACUCUCCCAUUGUGGGGUUUGUAAAAGGCACUAAGUCACUGGUAAUCUUGUAGGUUAACUUAUUUUAAUCUCCCUUUUGAUAAUGUGAAUUGUUUCAUAGCUAUUAGUUACAGUAGCAUCUACAAUAUGGAAGAUAUGCGAUUUCUAAGCUGGGGAAUUUUGCUUCACAGGUACUAAAUAAACUAAGUUAUGCUUUUACAACAUUGGAACAAACAAAUUACAUGCCUAUAUUCAUUCAUUUUCUCCGUUUCCAAUGUAUCCCUCCACAAUUCUGGUAUACCAUGACAUUCAUAAGAAACCACUUCAUUUGCUCUAUUCCUAUGAAGUGGGAGUUGUUCAUGUAUUUGGUGAUUAAUGACUCUUGUGCAUGUUUUUGAGUGUUUGUUCACUCUAGGUUUUUCUCAUUCAAAUUUUCUUCUAAAUUAAUGCUACCUUAGAAUCAAAUCUUUUAUCAUUAUGAAUUUCUAGAACUUUGGUUGCUUUGAUGAGGACAGGCAACACAAUGCUUAGAACAAGCAACAUGUAAAAGGCCAAGAAGGAACAGAGGAACAGAAGACGAAGAAAGAUGCAACUGGGAAUCGUUUGAAUUUUGAUACCUUGCUUCUCCCUAGGAGUGGCGUGAUUUUGAAGGCGAAUGAAUUGCGAAGGUUAUUUGAGUGCAACUUGAAAGCAAUGGAGGAAUAUGAACAUUAACUUUCGUAGCUGAAAUAGAUUCCAUUCACAAUUCCAUUCGUGUAUAUAUAUAUAUAUAUAUAUAUAUAUAUAUUCAUAAAUAGAUAAAAGAGCUGCUUCAUUUUUAUUAUAGAAAAAUAUAUUGUAUAAAAAUGUACAAGGUUUGGAUACAGAAAUAUAUAUAAUUUUAGUAAAAAAAAUCAUAUUUCCUUUAUAUCUCUCUUAAAAGAAGGAGAAACUACGGAACAGGGC
rnacentral:lncRNA from 1 species